UUUGAAGGAGGGGGUGGAUGUAACCGGAAUGAGUAUGUUGUGCGGUUAGGUAGGUAGAUGACGUAAUGGGUAGGUGGCGUAUAAAGUCUCGCGGGCGUCAAGGAAACAGCGUUUGCUCUCGUUCUACGCUUGGUGAGCGAGUUUGUGCUUCUUCCUCUGCUGGCGCGUUGAAGGAACGACUUGACCUAUUGUGUCCGAAAACUCGGAGAUUGUUCCGGUUUUAAUGAUCGAGGUGAGAGCAGAGUGCACUUGUCAUUUUGCGCUUUGUUACGACCACUGGACGACAUCAAAACCUUCUUUGGCAAGUGGCCAUCGUUUUUUUCCCCACCAAACUUGGGAUUUGGUUGUUUUGUU